GCAGCCGUGGCCUACUGGUUAGCGCUUCGGACUUGUAACCGGAGGGUUGCCGGUUCGAACCCCGACCAGAAGGA
rnacentral:tRNA from 1 species